rnacentral:rRNA from 1 species
AGUAUUGGACAAUGGGCGAAAGCCUGAUCCAGCAAGGCCGCGUGAGUGAUGAAUGCCUUAGGGUUGUAAAGCAUUUUUACCCGGGAUGAUAAUGACAGUACCGGGACAAUAAGCUCCGGCCAACUCCGUGCCAGCAUCCGCGGUAAUACGGAGGGAGCUAGCGUUGUUCGGAAUUACUGGGCGUAAAGCGCACGUAGGCGGCUCAGCAAGUCAGGGGUGGAAUCCCGGGGCUCAACCCCGGAACUGCCCUUGAAACUGCUAGGCUAGAAUCCUGGAGAGGCGAGUGGAAUUCCGAGUGUAGAGGUGAAAUUCGUAGAUAUUCGGAAGAACACCAGUGGCGAAGGCGACUCGCUGGACAGGUAUUGACGCUGAGGUGCGAAAGCGUGGGGAGCAAACAGG